CCAACACAACACUAAACAUGCGACGCAGACCUCCAGCCAGGAUAGUUAUUCAAAGCACAAGGCACAAUAACAGUGUGUUCUUUAACUGGUAGUUUGGGUUUACUGUUAAUGUGAGAUGAGGAUGCAUUUUGUGAAAUAGGAACAACAUUCACAAGUAAUCUGAAGGUCAAGUUAACAUUCAAAUGCUAAAUCCUCCCUUAGGAAAAAGAUUGCAGUCAAAGUUAAGUAUAACUGUGCUGGCCAGUCAAGUUUUUCCACACUGAUUUUGACAAACCAUUUCGGUAUGGACCUUGCUUUGUGAACGGGGGCAAUGUCAGGCUGAAACAGGAAAGGGCCUUCCCCAAACUGUUGCCACAAAGUUGGAAGCACAGAAUCGUCUAGAAUGUCAUUGUAUGCUGUAGUGUUAAGCUUUCCCUUCACUGUGCCGAGCAUGGAGACAGUGACACUGAAGCAUGCAUGAGAGCACCAGCUGUUCCAGACGACUGUGUGAUCACACUCUCCGUAGCCAAGGUAGUUUUCAGUAGGACCUUUUGUCACUGCGGGCAUCAGACGGUCACAGAUUACCAACGGGGCCAGACAACUAAGCAUCAAGGGCAUUGUCUACAUGUGACCCCGCCAACAUGUGUAGCCUACUGUAUCAGCAUGUCUGUGGGAUUUUUUGUGAGAGACUAUCUGUACUCUGCAAAUUACAGUUACAGAGUAGUGCACCUAUUUUGGUUGUCCAUUUCGGCUCUCCCCUUAUUGCUCAAUAGCAGUGCCUGGGUAAGCUUAUGCGGGUCUCAGUGACCUCUAGAGAUAAAUCCAGAGAGGCCUGUCAGACACAGAUAAGGUUCUACAGCAGACAGAUGAUGCAUUUCUCUGUAGCCUGGGCUGCUAUUACAUGUCAUGUAAGUCUGUGAUAACAGUACCAAGUUAGUCACUGAAUGAUUGGAUUGAUUAAGACCGGGUCAUUCAGGAUGCUGGUACUCUGGACACCCUCACAAGCUUAAAUAUACAGUAGGC
rnacentral:lncRNA from 1 species